rnacentral:pre_miRNA from 1 species
UCUUACGGAUGAGCAAAAAAGAUGGUUUUUUGAGAUGGAAUCUACUCCUGGAGAAGAUGCUGUGAA